rnacentral:rRNA from 1 species
UACGUAGGGGGCAAGCGUUGUUCGGAAUCACUGGGCGUAAAGCGCACGUAGGCGGAUGUGUCAGUCAGGGGUGAAAUCCCGGGGCUCAACCUCGGAACUGCCUCUGAUACAGCACAUCUUGAGUCCGGAAGAGGUGGGUGGAAUUCCUAGUGUAGAGGUGAAAUUCGUAGAUAUUAGGAAGAACACCGGUGGCGAAGGCGGCCCACUGGUCCGGUACUGACGCUGAGGUGCGAAAGCGUGGGGAGCAAACAGG